UAAUGCACGACGACGUUGUCUAUUGCAGCGGUUCCCAAAAGGUGUUCCGCGGAACCCUGAGGUUCCGUGAAAGACCCUCAGGGGUUCCGCGAAAAUUAAAGAUUUCCAUAUUGUAAAUCGUUUCACUUGUGAUAAUAUUAAAUUGACGUAAU